rnacentral:rRNA from 1 species
CCUACGGGAGGCAGCAGUGGAGGAUCUUGCACAAUGGGCGAAAGCCUGAUGCAGCCACGCCGCGUGAGGGAAGACGGCCUUCGGGUUGUAAACCUCUUUCAGUGGGGAAGAAGCGUAAGUGACGGUACCCACAGAAGAAGCCCCGGCCAAAUACGUKCCAGCAGCCGCGGUAAUACGUAGGGGGCGAGCGUUGUCYGGAAUCAUUGGGCGUAAAGCGCGUGUAGGCGGCCCGUUAARUCGGAUGUGAAAGCCCGGGGCUCAACUCCGGAAUUGCAUCCGAUACUGGCGGGCUUGAGGCAGGUAGAGGAGAGUGGAAUUCCCGGUGUAGCGGUGGAAUGCGCAGAUAUCGGGAGGAACACCAGCGGCGAAGGCGGCUCUCUGGGCCUGUCCUGACGCUGAGACGCGAAARCAUGGGGAGSGAACAGGAUUAGAUACCCUGGUAGUCCAUSCCGUAAACGAUGGGUGCUAGAUGUGGGGACCAGUUCACGGUUUCCGUGUCGUCAGCUAACGC